rnacentral:rRNA from 1 species
AGGACGAACGCUUGCGGCGUGCCUAAGAAAUGCAAGUCGAACGGACAGUCCAGCAAUGGUCUGUUAGUGGCGAACGGUCGCGUAACACGUAGGCAACCUGCCCGAAAGUGGGGGACAACAGCCUGAAAGGGCUGCUAAUACCGCAUGUGGCCCGGUGGUGGCAUCACUAAUGGUCUAAAGCUUAAUGCGCUUUCGGAUGGGCUUGCCGGCCUAUCAGG